CUUUGCCUUUUCGCUCCGGCGGUGGCCGCUGCUCUUUCGGACCUUCCUGAACUCUGCGGCCUUUUCCUCUCUGCUUCCGUGGUCCCUAUCAUAACGCUACCUGCAUUUCCUUGUCCUUCUCUACCAAACAGCACCUGGAGAUAGGGACAUGGGGUUCGUGCUGCUCACCACUGUCUCCCCAGGGCCUAGCACACAGUACGUGCUCAAAACGGUUAGUUGAAUGAAUUCGUGGAAAAUAUGCAUACAGGUGUUUAGAGCUAUCUUUAAUGUUGGCAACAUCCCUAGGAGAUAUUACUAUUCUCUCCCGAGGAUGAGGAAACCGAGGUGCAGCGAAAUUCGGUCACGUGGGGAUGAAUGGCUGAGCUGAUGCUGGGACAUGCUUACAUUACUGGAUCUCGGAUCCUCUACACAGUGAUGCCCUGUGCAGUGUCAGAGCUCAGUUUCCCGUCUAUCAAGAGUGUUGUGUUAGAGCACAAGAUAGGUUAGAAGAUGGGUUAUUACUGCCAGGUCCUGUGGCUCACGCCUAUAAUUCUAGCACUUUGGGAGGCCAGGGUGGGAGAAGCGCUUGCGCCCAGGAGUUCGAAACCAGCCUGGGCAACAUGGCGAAACCCCGUCUCUACAAAAAAAAAAUUAAGAAGUUUUCUGGGCAUGGUGGUGUGCACCUGUACUCCCAGCUACUUGGGAGGCUGAGGUGGGAGGAUCACUUGAGCCCAGGAGUUGGAAGCUGCAGUGUUAUGAUUGUACCACUUGCACUCCAGCCUGGGUGACAGAAAAAAAAAAAAACCCGUCUCUACUAAAAAUACAAAAAAUUAGCCUGGCGUGGUGGUGGGCACCUGUAGUCCCAGCUAGCUACUCGGGAAGCUGAGGCAAGAGAAUGGCGUGAACCCGGGAGGCGGAGCUUGCAGUAAGCCGAGAUGGCACCACUGCAUUCCAGCCUGGGUGACAGAGUGAGACUCCAUCUCAAAACAAAACAAAAACAAAAACAAAAAAACUUACUUCGGCCGGGCACAGUGGCUCACGCCUGUAAUCCCAGCACUUUGGGAAGCCGAGGUGGGUGGAUCACCUGAGGUCAGGAGUUCGAGACCAGCCUGGCCAACAUCAUGAAACCCC
rnacentral:lncRNA from 10 species